rnacentral:rRNA from 1 species
GACGAGCGCUGGCGGCGUGCUCAACACAUGCAAGUCGAACGGAAAGGCCCUGCUUUUGUGGGGUGCUCGAGUGGCGAACGGGUGAGUAACACGUGAGUAACCUGCCCUUGACUUUGGGAUAACUUCAGGAAACUGGGGCUAAUACCGGAUAGGAGCUCCUGCUGCAUGGUGGGGGUUGGAAAGUUUCGGCGGUUGGGGAUGGACUCGCGGCUUAUCAGCUUGUUGGUGGGGUAGUGGCUUACCAAGGCUUUGACGGGUAGCCGGCCUGAGAGGGUGACCGGCCACAUUGGGACUGAGAUACGGCCCAGACUCCUACGGGAGGCAGCAGUGGGGAAUAUUGCACAAUGGGCGGAAGCCUGAUGCAGCAACGCCGCGUGCGGGAUGACGGCCUUCGGGUUGUAAACCGCUUUCGCCUGUGACGAAGCGUGAGUGACGGUAAUGGGUAAAGAAGCACCAGCUAACUACGUG